CCGAGUCGUCUGCACCCGAAGCCGCCGGCCGAACCCGCAAGGGGCGGAGGCGUCGAAGGUGUGGAGGGUAAGGGGGGUGAAGUCGUAACAAGGUAGCCGUACCGGAAGGUGCGGCUGGAUCACCUCCUUUCUAGGGAGA
rnacentral:rRNA from 1 species